rnacentral:rRNA from 1 species
CACCGCGGUUAUACGAAAGACCCUAGUCGAUAGACACGGCGUAAAGGGUGGGUAGGAGUAAUGAAAAAUAGGGCUAAAGACCUUCUAAGCAGUUAUACGCCUACGAACAUGCGAAAUCCUAUUUUAAACGAAAGUAGCCCUACCACAAUAUAUUCGACCCCCCGAAAGUUGAGAAA